AUGGGUAAGAGUUCCAUGGUGAUCUUUGAGCCAGAGGAGACCAAGCAUUUGGUCUAUCUAAAAGCUGCCCUCUACGAGACUCUCAGGUUGUACCCAUCAGCACCAAUAGAGCGCAAGACAGUGGCUACCACUGAUAUCAUGCCGAGUGGCCAUGAGGUGCACACCGGCGAUACCAUCCUUAUUUCUCUCUACUCCAUGGCGAGAAUGGAGGGCGUGUGGGGUAAAGACUGUCGCGACUAUAACCCACAUAGGUGGCUCUCAGAGGAUGGCAACAAGCUGGUGUAUGUACCGUCCCACAAGUUCUUGUCCUUCAACUCAGGCCCAAGGAUGUGCCCUGGAAAGGACAUCGCUGUUGUGCAGAUGAAAACCGUUGUUGCGGCAGUGGUUUGGAACUUCGACAUGGAGGUGGUGGAAGGGCAGAGCAUCCAGCCCAAGCUAUCUUGUACACUACAAAUGAAGAAUGGGCUUAUGAUGAUCCUGAAGAAGCGAGAAAUAUAA
rnacentral:rRNA from 1 species